rnacentral:rRNA from 1 species
UACGUAGGGGGCAAGCGUUGUCCGGAAUCAUUGGGCGUAAAGAGCUCGUAGGCGGCUUGUCGCGUCGUUCGUGAAAACCCGGGGCUCAACUCCGGGCUUGCGGGCGAUACGGGCAGGCUAGAGUUCGGUAGGGGAGACUGGAAUUCCUGGUGUAGCGGUGAAAUGCGCAGAUAUCAGGAGGAACACCGGUGGCGAAGGCGGGUCUCUGGGCCGAUACUGACGCUGAGGAGCGAAAGCGUGGGGAGCGAACGGG